rnacentral:rRNA from 1 species
AGAGUUUGAUCCUGGCUCAGAUUGAACGCUGGCGGUAUGCUUUACACAUGCAAGUCGAACGGCAGCACGGGGCAACCUGGUGGCGAGUGGCGAACGGGUGAGUAACAUAUCGGAACAUGUCCGGAAGUGGGGGAUAGCGUAGCGAAAGUUACGCUAAUACCGCAUAUGCCCUGAGGGGGAAAGGGGGGGAUCGCAAGACCUCUCGCUUUCGGAGUGGCCGAUAUCGGAUUAGCUAGUAGGUGAGGUAAAGGCUCACCUAGGCGACGAUCCGUAGCUGGUCUGAGAGGACGACCAGCCACACUGGAACUGAGACACGGUCCAGACUCCUACGGGAGGCAGCAGUGGGGAAUUUUGGACAAUGGGGGCAACCCUGGUCCAGCCAUACCGCGUGAGUGAAGAAGGCCUUCGGGUUGUAAAGCUCUUUCGGCAGGAAAGAAAUCGUGCAGGCUAAUAUCCUGUAUGGAUGACGGUACCUGAAGAAGAAGCACCGGCUAACUACGUGCCAGCAGCCGCGGUAAUACGUAGGGUGCGAGCGUUAAUCGGAAUUACUGGGCGUAAAGCGUGCGCAGGCGGCUUUGCAAGACAGACGUGAAAUCCCCGGGCUUAACCUGGGAACUGCGUUUGUGACUACAGGGCUAGAGUGUAGCAGAGGGGGGUAGAAUUCCACGUGUAGCAGUGAAAUGCGUAGAGAUGUGGAGGAAUACCGAUGGCGAAGGCAGCCCCCUGGGCUAACACUGACGCUCAUGCACGAAAGCGUGGGGAGCAAACAGGAUUAGAUACCCUGGUAGUCCACGCCCUAA